AAAAAAAAAAUUACAGAACUUUCCAACGUGAAAAACAAUGUGGAAUACCCUCAAUAGAAUGUAUGAAGAAAUCGAACUUAUCCAGAACCUUCAAACCAUUUUUGCAUGAGACCAUAGAGUCUGGAUUUGUUUGAUAAUCGAGGGAAGAUUUCCGGUUGCAGAUGAGCUUGUCAAUACGCUGGGUCAGCUGAUUAACAUCACAAUAACGAGAAUUAUGGAUUCGACCAUUAUGCUGUCUCCAAAUCUAGUAGAUGGUUGCUUCAAAAGAUAUUGGCGAUUUCGGAGAAGUUUCUCAGCGACAUUAGUUCACACAGUAAAAGAGUAUGGACAAACGAAGAAAAUGUGAUCUCGUGUCUCAUUUGGCUCACCACACACAACACAAAAGGCUGAUGUGCUUGCCACCUUCACACUGCAUUCCCUGUAGAAAGUCUAUUCUGAAUCUCAAACCAUGUAAUGAAUCUACAGCAAGGGAUACCCUGAGAAAACCAAACUUCUCGCCACCAGUCAACAGUCUGAUGUUGCUAUCCUAGAUGAUUCCAAGUGUGAUAGGAGGAGAAUCCAUAGUGUUGUGACGCCAUAGAAAAGCAUUCAGGUCUACUAGUUCGAAUUGGCAAUGGUUGAGCAUUGAUGAGUUCCAUAAUCAGAUGAAGAUGUUGAAACACCUUGAACGAUAUAAACGUUCUAGACCGUUCACCAGUGUUCGAUGAUGUUUAAAAAGGAAACACUUCAAGAGUAAAGUUUUUCGUGAACCAACGUCCGUAUAAUAUGGCAUACUAUCUAGCUGAC